UCGACCAUUCAAUUUGGUCCUUUGAUAUGUAUAAGCUGUAAACAGUCCCUCCCAAACGGAAAAUUUUAUGCAUAACAAUUCAAUUCUAUCAAAAUUAAUGAUCAGAGUAUAUUCUGAGUGUAAAGUAUUUUCCUUUCCAAUGACAGCUGUCUACCUCUCCAUGAUUUACACUGCUUAUUUAUAGAAUCCUACCUAACACUUUUCCAUUCACUCCUCUCAUCUUUGCCAGAAAAGAGGCCAUGGCUCACAUGAUAUUCAUCUUCAUGGUGGAUGCAACUCUGUCCUGGGUGUUUUCACUUAUCAUAUAUGAAAUCAUCCUUGCUUGGAAUCUCAAUGAUGACUCGAAAUGCCUUCAAGAUUCCCUCACCAUGAUUCAUGCUGUGCUUCGAGAUGCAGACGAAUGACAAACCAGGAGAGAACCUGUGAGGCUUUGCCUGAACAAGCUCAGAGAUGUAGCGUAUGAGGGUGAAGCCGUGUUAAAUAAGUUACGGAUCGACGAUAUUCGACAAAUGGCUGAGAUGCUAGAACAAUCCGGAGCAAAGGUAAGCAAGUUUUUUUCAAUCUCCAAAGCCAUUCGUUUUGUUAAAAGGUUUGCUUUUCAUUUCAAAAUGGCCCACAAAGUUAAAAAUAUAAAUGAAUCGCUGAAUAAGAUUAAGAAUGAAGCUAUAUGGGUUUUGUACUUCAAUGUUAAUGUUUAAUGCAGAAUUAAUUUUGAAUAUUUUUGAUGUAUUUGUUAGUUGGCAAGUCAUGAAUUAGCCAUAUGUUAGUUUCCUACUUUCUAUCAUUUUUAAUAAGGUUGUUUCAUGAAUAUUUUGUUAGUGCUGUAGUUGCAGAAGAUACUGUUGCAGACUUGUUUGCAGAAGUUGCAUAUCUGUUUUCAAUUCUUCGGACUUGUAAAAUUGUCUUAAAGUUUCAUGCACACUUGAAGAUACUGUGGACUGGUAUUAUUAUAUCCAAAUUGCUCUUGCACUCACUUAAACCAUCUCACUUGAAAAAUCACUUCAUGUUUAUUGUUUCAGCACUAAAUUUGCUUGCUUCAUUUCCACUCACUUUUUUGGUGAUUUCCUUCACAAGGUAACUAUGGAACUUCAUGAAGGGAAUGUUGGGAGAUAGUCCUCCAUAUGGUGCUUCAUGAGACUGCCAGAUGCAAGAUUAUGCCAGAUGCACAGCUGCAUCAUUUUCUCUGCAAAUUUCUGCUUUUAUUCCAGCCAACUGGGGGAGAAAAAUAUCAUUCAAUUGAGUAGAAAGGUAAGUGAGACAUUCUAUUUUAGUUCCAAAAGAUAUUUGAAUUUCAGUCAUUAGUAAACUAUAAUUACAAUGGUCACAAAUGAACUGUUUGUUGUUGUGCUUUCAGCAUGUCUCAACUUUGUCCCAACUGAAAGA